rnacentral:rRNA from 1 species
UACGUAGGUGGCGAGCGUUGUCCGGAAUUACUGGGUGUAAAGGGCGUGUAGGCGGGGAAGCAAGUCAGAUGUGAAAUCCCGGGGCUCAACUCCGGAGUUGCAUCUGAAACUGUUUUUCUUGAGUGCUGGAGAGGAAAGCGGAAUUCCUAGUGUAGCGGUGAAAUGCGUAGAUAUUAGGAGGAACACCAGUGGCGAAGGCGGCUUUCUGGACAGUAACUGACGCUGAGGCGCGAAAGCGUGGGGAGCAAACAGGAUUAGAUACCCGCGUAGUCCCU